CCUUGAGGCACUGCAGCACAGCGUUAUCUCCCUCUGUGGAGAGAGAGGGAGAGAGGUGUGGGCAUGGGUGGUGGGGGGGGACCUCCAAGCCCCCCCACUCCUCACACCAGGUUAUAGAGCAGAGGACUCCAAAAGCUGGGAGUGGAGGAGCCGGCAGAGUCCUUCCAACCCUUUCCUGAAUUUUACAAAUAAGAAAAUGGAGGCUCAGAGAGGGAGGCCGAGGCGAGAGGAUCCUUUGAGGACAGGAGUUUGAGACCAGCCUGUGCAACACAGCGAGAACCCAUCUCUAUAGAAAUUUUUUUAAAAACAAAAAAUGUCAGUUGCUUCUCAUCUACCUAAAAUAAAAACUCCAACCCAA